rnacentral:rRNA from 1 species
UGCCAGCCGCCGCGGUAAUACGUAGGGUGCAAGCGUUAGUCGGAAUUACUGGGCGUAAAGCGUGUGUAGGCGGUUCGGAAAGAAAGAUGUGAAAUCCCAGGGCUCAACCUUGGAACUGCAUUUUUAACUGCCGAGCUAGAGUAUGUCAGAGGGGGGUAGAAUUCCACGUGUAGCAGUGAAAUGCGUAGAUAUGUGGAGGAAUACCGAUGGCGAAGGCAGCCCCCUGGGAUAAUACUGACACUGACACUGAGGUGCGAAAGCGUGGGGAGCAAACAGGAUUAGAUA